GACAGAGGAGGCAAGCGUUGUUCGGAAUCAUUGGGCUUAAAGGGCGUGCAGGCGGCGGCGCAAGUGUCGAGUGAAAUCCCAUCGCUCAACGAUGGAACGGCUCGGCAAACUGCGUCGCUUGAGGUCGGUAGAGGUGCUCGGAACUCUAGGUGGAGCGGUGAAAUGCGUAGAUAUCUAGAGGAACGCCUGAGGCGAAAGCGGGGCACUGGGCCGAUUCUGACGCUGAGACGCGAAAGCGUGGGGAGCAAACAGGAUUAGAUACCCUGGUAGUCCACGCCGUAAACGAUGCACACUAGGUGACGGGGCCUCUCACGGCGCCGCCGCCGAAGCAAAAGUGAUUAGUGUGCCGCCUGGGGAGUACGGCCGCAAGGCUAAA
rnacentral:rRNA from 1 species